GUGCGCGUUCUGAGUCUGGGCGGGGCCGGGGGUCGCGCAGGCGCGGCCCUACCCGGCGGGGAGUGUCACGGAGGCUCCCCUGGGAUCCCGGUCACCAAAACUCCCGCAGGCCUUUCCCCGGGGAGACUGGGGGCCUGUUACCAGCAGUCGCCGCCCAGCCUUGACUGCCUGGGUGAAUCAGGUGCUAAUCAGAGCUUUGGGCUUGGCAGCUCCCCUGUCUGGGUUUUCUGAGUGCGCCCGAUUUAGGCCGGGUGGGGGGAUUCCUACGGCCCUGCCCCACCCACGAAGACCGAGAAGGCUCACCCGGUGGCGAAAGGUGGGCUCGGUGACUCAUCUCUGGGAUGACCUCACCUCCCGACCCCAGCGGAGCAGAUGUCCGGAUUUGAGACCUCAUACCGUGACUUUGGACGGCUAGUGCGUUCCCUUCUUCAGAUUAUAAACUGGCUCGAGUAGGUGCAUGGGUGUGUUGAUUCAAGUGCUUCUGGAAAGCCCCUUCCCUUGCUAAGCACCACGAUCAUGUCCACAUCGUGUUUCUGCCUGGAGUGGAAUACUCUCUAACACAACUGUUCAGAACAGCCAAGCCAGUGGAGCAGGAAGGCCUCUGCUCUGUGGUUGUUUUAUUCAAGCCGCGCAUGAAGGUUCUUUCUGUUAUAAAGCCCAGUCACUGCUCUGCAGGGAGCACAGUCUUACGUGUCCUCUGCGGCCCAGUUUCCAAGCUCUGAGGUGGCAUGUUCAUUCAUUCGACUAACAUUUGUUGAAAGCCUACUGUGUUCUACGUAUUGUGCCAGAAGCUGAGGAUACAGAAAUAAAAACAAAACUGUUCCCAUCCUUAA